rnacentral:lncRNA from 1 species
GCAGCCACUUCUUCGCCUACCUGGUGACCACGGCCAUCGUCGUCGCCGCCCUCUACGUCGCCUAUCACAACAAACGCAAGAUCAUCGCGUUUGCGCUGGAAGGAAAAAGGUCCAAAAGUGGCCGACGGCCCAAAUCUGGCGAUUACCAGAGACUGGAUCAAAAGAUCUAGAUUCCUCUUUGGAAAUGCAGCGGGAUCCCGGUGGCUGGCGAUGAAGACGCAGGAGCGCUGGGUCGCCCACCCAACGUUCGGGUUUCAGACACCGGGGGGCAAAGGGGAAAACGCUUUUGUUUUGCACCCGCACCUUGAUAACGUUCAACUCUCACUUCUCAAAACGCUUUUCUCCUUCCCCACCCGCUGAAGAUGAACUUUAUGUUCCACUCGGGCCUCCGUGACACGGGAAAAACGAAUCCCCAGCGCUCGGCAGGACUUUUGUGUCCGAAUGAAGUGAAUUUGCCAUCUGCUGUACUGACAACUCCUCUUGACGGGGGGAAAACCAAACACCCGCCUGCGAAAUGAGCCGCUUGACGUUCCCUCUUCCCCCCGUUGUAUUUGGAGGCGAAAGUUCAGAGCGCAACUGAUUGCACUAGUUUAAAAAUGCUCACCGAAGACCUUCUGAUUUAAUUUGAUUGGGUUUCUUUUUCUCUCUCCCUGUGCUGGCGACAACGCUCGAGUUCAACGUCUCGAUUCCUUUGCUGUGGACGCGCUGGAGCUGCCCUUGGGUUGUAGCUUAAACCUUUCUCACCUGCCUCUUCUGCUCUGCGUGUGAUUUUUCGCUCCCAAACCCUCCGAAUUCCAAGGUUUGCACUAGAGGUGACGGUUCCGAUGCUGUGAAGGGCAGGGGAGGUUUGAUAAGCUUCAAAUCGCCACCGCAGACUUGACCUUGAAAAAUCGCCACCCUGCCCCUUGCGAAACGUCGUUUUGUGGGUGCGUGAGAUGUGCGGUGGCCCCGAAGCACUUGGGAUGAACAGAAAUUGCGGCUUUUCAAAUGCUUUCCUCAAAAAUCGUGUUGGGAACUGCUGGUCGAGCCCGAGCGGGCGCUGCCGGCGACACAGCCGCCGCCUUUUCCACUCACGAGUCCCCACGGGGCCGUUUCUGCGCCUCCCCAGCAGGUGACAACACUAAGGGCUCGUUUUACCACCAACACAACCUCGUUCUGCUCCCCGCUGCGAUUUCGGGGAGUUUGUGGUUAAACGUCACACUUAACCAGAGCUGGGCCCUCCCGGUUGUAUUUACACCCUCAAAACACCUCAAUUCUCAAGUUACAACUGUGAGAUUGGUUUGAUUUUUGUCAUUCUACUCCAAAUAAGUUGAUUUGAGAUGGGGUGUUUCUCAAAUAACCACCCACCUGCUGGGUUUUGUUGUUGUUUUUUUCCAAUACGGGCAGGACAAAGUUGUUCCGAGGCCUCCGGAGCUCUUGGCACAGGCACCGACUCAUGACAGGAAGAACCUUUGACAAGGACAAGGACACCAAAGCUCCAGCUGUGUUUUGAUUUUUCCUAACACUUCAUUCCCCACAAAAGAGGAGAAAAGGAGCUUGAUGCUCCC